rnacentral:lncRNA from 1 species
GCGGAUUUCAUCUGAACAUUUUAUGAACUGAAGACAUACUUAUUGGCAUGUACUUGAUCAUCCAUCAGCUUUUUGCAGGUGCUUUGGAAGGACUACUGUUGUGAUCUCUGGAGCAUUUGAUUCUGGCUCUUAGAGGAACAGGAGCUCUCAUCUAUGAAGUACCUCUGAUCUUCAGCUAGUUUUAUGCAUAGAAGGUGAUGCACAGAGGGAUUACGGUUGUUAAAAUAUUU